UCAGAAUUAUCAUUUAUAAUAUGUUAUUUUAGUUGUAUUUUUCUGAUGAUGGUCAGGUUCAUCGAGCCACACUCAGGCCUAAUCACUCAUUUGUUAGAUACACUAAAUUUUGGCAUGUUAAUGGUUGGAUCUAACCAGAACUUUUAGUGGAGGUGCCACAUGCUUGCUGAAGAGGUGUCUGACAUAAAAUUGAAUAUUAAAAAUUAUUUGAUGAAAUAAUUGGUUA
rnacentral:lncRNA from 1 species